rnacentral:rRNA from 1 species
AGCGAACGCUGGCGGCAGGCCUAACACAUGCAAGUCGAACGAACCUUUCGGGGUUAGUGGCGGCCGGGUGAGUAACCCGUGGGAACGUGCCUUUAGGUUCGGAAUAACUCAGGGAAACUUGUGCUAAUACCGAAUGUGCCCUUCGGGGGAAAGAUUUAUCGCCUUUAGAGCGGCCCGCGUCUGAUUAGCUAGUUGGUUGAGGUAAUGGCUCACCAAGGCGACGAUCAGUAGCUGGUCUGAGAGGAUGGUCAGCCACAUUGGGACUGGGACACGGCCCAAACUCCUACGGGAGGCAGCAGUGGGGAAUCUUGCGCAAUGGGCGAAAGCCUGACGCAGCCAUGCCGCGUGAAUGAUGAAGGUCUUAGGAUUGUAAAAUUCUUUCACCGGGGACGAUAAUGACGGUACCCGGAGAAGAAGCCCCGGCUAACUUCGUG